rnacentral:rRNA from 1 species
GACAGAGGCCUCGAGCGUUAGGCGGAAUCACUGGGCUUAAAGCGUGUGUAGGCGGAUCGUUAAGUACCUUGUGAAAUCCCACGGCUCAACCGUGGAACGGCUGGGUAUACUGGCGGUCUUGGGCCAUUCAGGGGCGACUGGAACAAGCGGUGGAGCGGUGAAAUGCGUAGAUAUCGCUUGGAACGCCGAAGGUGAAAACAGGUCGCUGGGGAUGUGCCGACGCUGAGACACGAAAGCCAGGGGGAGCAAACAGG